GCCUGAGUAGCUGAGUUGGUUCAAGCGCUGCUCUGAAAAGGCGGAGACGGUGGUUCGAUACCGCCCUCAGGCA
rnacentral:tRNA from 1 species